GUGGGGAAUAUUGGACAAUGGGCGCAAGCCUGAUCCAGCCAUGCCGCGUGAGUGAUGAAGGCCCUAGGGUUGUAAAGCUCUUUCACCGGUGAAGAUAAUGACGGUAACCGGAGAAGAAGCCCCGGCUAACUUCGUGCCAGCAGCCGCGGUAAUACGAAGGGGGCUAGCGUUGUUCGGAAUUACUGGGCGUAAAGCGCACGUAGGCGGACAUUUAAGUCAGGGGUGAAAUCCCGGGGCUCAACCCCGGAACUGCCUUUGAUACUGGGUGUCUGGAGUAUGGAAGAGGUAAGUGGAAUUCCGAGUGUAGAGGUGAAAUUCGUAGAUAUUCGGAGGAACACCAGUGGCGAAGGCGGCCUGCUGGACAUUAACUGACGCUGAGGCGCGAAAGCGUGGGGAGCAAACAGGAUUAGAAACCCGGGUAGUCC
rnacentral:rRNA from 1 species